rnacentral:rRNA from 1 species
GACGAACGCUGGCGGCGUGCCUAACACAUGCAAGUCGAACGAAGCACUUCUGAAUGGAGAUUCGUCAAAGUUCAGAUUUGACUUAGUGGCGGACGGGUGAGUAAUGCAUGAGCAACCUGCCCUGCAGUGGGGGACAACAGUUGGAAACGACUGCUAAUACCGCAUGAUGUAUCUGGAAGGCAUCUUCCGGAUACCAAAGAUUUAUCGCUGUGGGAUGGGCUCAUGUCUGAUUAGUUAGUUGGUGGGGUAACGGCCUACCAAGACUGCGAUCAGUAGCCGGACUGAGAGGUUGAACGGCCACAUUGGGACUGAGAUACGGCCCAGACUCCUACGGGAGGCAGCAGUGGGGAAUAUUGGGCAAUGGGCGAAAGCCUGACCCAGCAACGCCGCGUGAAGGAAGAAGGUCUUCGGAUUGUAAACUUCUUUUAUGAGGGACGAAGGAAGUGACGGUACCUCAUGAAUAAGCCACGGCUAACUACGUGCCAGCACG